GGGCUUGCUUCAGUAAUGUUAGUGGCAAACGGGUGAGUAACACGUGGGAAUCUACCCAUCAGUACGGAAUAACAUUUGGAAACAGAUGCUAAUACCGUAUAUUCUCUAAGGAGGAAAGAUUUAUCGCUGAUGGAUGAGCCCGCGCAAGAUUAGGUAGUUGGUGGGGUAAUGGCCUACCAAGCCGACGAUCCAUAGCUGGUUUGAGAGGAUGAUCAGCCACACUGGGACUGAGACACGGCCCAGACUCC
rnacentral:rRNA from 1 species